rnacentral:rRNA from 1 species
GACGAACGCUGGCGGCGUGCUUAACACAUGCAAGUCGAACGGAAAGGCCUUUUCGGAGGUACUCGAGUGGCGAACGGGUGAGUAACACGUGGGUGAUCUGCCCUGCACUCUGGGAUAAGCCUGGGAAACUGGGUCUAAUACCGGAUAGGACCGCACUUUAGUGUGUGUGGUGGAAAGUUGUUUCGGUGUAGGAUGAGCCCGCGGCCUAUCAGCUUGUUGGUGGGGUAAUGGCCUACCAAGGCGGCGGCGGGGAGCCGGACUGAGAGGGUGGUCGGCCACAGUGGGACUGGGAAACGGCCCAGACUCCUACGGGAGGCAGCAGUGGGGAAUAUUGCACAAUGGGCGCAAGCCGGAUGCAGCGACGCCGAGGGGGGGAUGACGGCCUUCGGGUUGUAAACGCCUUUCGCCAGGGACGAAGCGUUUUGUGACGGUACCUGGAGAAGAAGCACCGGCUAACUACGUG